rnacentral:rRNA from 1 species
ACGUAGGGUGCGAGCGUUAAUCGGAAUUACUGGGCGUAAAGGGUGCGUAGGCGGUUCGUUAAGUCUGUCGUGAAAUCCCCGGGCUCAACCUGGGAAUGGCGAUGGAUACUGGCGAGCUAGAGUGUGUCAGAGGAUGGUGGAAUUCCCGGUGUAGCGGUGAAAUGCGUAGAGAUCGGGAGGAACAUCAGUGGCGAAGGCGGGUCUCUGGGCAUUUCCUGACGCAGAGGCGCGAAAGCGUGGGGAGCAAACGGGA